ACUUCUGGAAAUCCAGCCUAACAACAAAAUCAUAGAGAUGUCACAAUCGAAACAGAAUUUAUUAUAAAGAUAUUAGAGUCGCCACUUGGGAGAUUAAUGGUAUCCCAAGUCACCGGUUUUAAUCCCGAAUCAAGGAAAAAUGACUCUGUAUUACAGUCCGCGAACCAAAAUCCGGAUAAGGAAUUCUAUUAACCCGGGAGAAGGUGUUAGGCAUUCCCGAGUUCCGUGGUUCUAGCACGGUGCUCAAUUGUCAUAUUUGACUUAUUUAUCUGAUUUUAACAAUUAUGUAGUUAGUGCAAGUCAUGAUUCUUUUAACCGCUUUUCUUAUUAUUAUCAUUAUUUUAAUAAAGCUAAAGCUUAAAGGGAAAGCAAAAGUUAAAGCAAAAAAGCAAAAGUUAAAAGGAAAAGUUAAAGUAAAAGUAAAAGUUAAAACAAACAUUAAAGCAAAAGUUAAAAUUAAACAAAGGUUAAAGUUAAAGCUAAAGUUAAAGUUAAAGCAAAAGUUAAAGCAAAAAGAGUGUUAUUGUUUUUUGGGGAAGGGCGUGAAAUUUUACAAAACGACCCGUCUUGGAGUCUAAGUAACUUUACAGACACAUGCAGAUGGCCCCACAACUUGCGUAUUUUUGUUUGGCGAGGCACGCCUCAUUUGUUAAUUUUUAAAAGAAUUGCAACGUCAUGGAAAUGCAUUUCGAACCACGUCACAAUCAAUGUACCCGUGAUUUGUCGACGCAUUUCGACUUUGUUGGGAUUUGGAUUUGGGUCACAUAAAUGUGCACCCGAGUUUAAGGAGAUAACAUUAUUAAAUACGCGCCUAAAGAUACUAACGCGUUAUUAUUUUUAGGAUGCCGUGAAAUUCGCUAAACGACAUGUCCUGUAGUCCAAGUAGUUUUAAUAUAUACAUUUAUGAGGGCCCCGCUUCCUGUGCAUUUUUAUUUGGCGAGGCUCGUCUCAAUUAUAUUAUUUAAAAGGUAAACUUACGGCAACUACAAUUUUCUAUUUCGCGAAGGCCAUGGAAAAUCCGCUAAUGACACACCUCAAUUUAUAAAUGAAGAGCCUAGUUGAUUUAAAAGCUAAAGGAAAUUUCGAAUUUAUCCAAAGCAAAUGCCUAAGCUCAAUUGGAAAUUAGUGGUGUUUUAAAUCUACGCACAAUGUAAGCUGUGAAUAAAUUAUCACUCUACUAUGUAGAUAAAAUUCUUUUUAUUUUAUUUUAUAGAACAAAUUCAAAACUUGUACAACUAAGUUCCCCAAUUCAGUAGCAUCAACAAAAGAACAAUUCAACAUCAAAUUAUGGAUAUGCAGCAACCAUGAGCAAUUAAACCCAAUUCUUCUUUCUUUUAGUUUCCAAUCGCACCCAAAAUUCCAAAGACUCAAACCUAUAUUUCAGUUCAAAAAAACUCUCGCCAACUACUAAAUAACUGAUUCGUAUACUCAAAUAUUUGCUUAGAAUGAACAAAAAUCCUACUGUAUUAACUUGAACCAUUUAGCAUGCUUACAAAUACAAAUCAACGAGUGCAGGAAGAUGGGAUAGCCCUUCAGCCGUGAAAAACAUGUUCAUGCAUUAAGAGCAACUUAAAUCUAACAUGGAAUCAUCAUUCACAAAAGCAUAGAAGGAACAAAGAUGAAGAAUAUACCUCAAAACAAAGCCAUUUUCAAAUCUGAAAAUACUUAAACUGGAAACCUUAGGCAGGGCCAACUCGACGGAACCUCGGACGACGACUAACCAACGACGAACUCGAACGGACCUCACCCGGGCCAGAACUUCUGGUGAUUUUUGAACGUUUUCAGUUGGGUUUCAGCGUGUGUGUUCAGUUCUAAGCCACGGACAAGAUGACUGUGGCU
rnacentral:lncRNA from 1 species